rnacentral:rRNA from 1 species
AAAUGACUCUUGACAACGGAUAUCUCGGCUCUUGCAUCAAUGAAAAAUGUAGCGAAAUUCCAUACUUGGUAUGAAUAGAAAAAUCCAGUGAACCAUCGAGCCUUUAAACACAAGUUGCACCUAAAGUCGUUAGGCUGAGGGCACUUCUACCUAGGUGCCACGCAACGUUGCUAGCUUCCGAUCCUUCGGGUGCGGCGGAUGAUGGCCUCUCAAGAGCCUCGCCUCCCAGCCGACCGAAAAAAGGGACCUAUGUGACGGCCGCCAAGAUCCACGAUGGUAGAGUGAGUGUUUGCUUGAGGCGAGGACGUGAGUGAGUCGUCCAACUAGGAUGGCCCACUGGAAAGGGAAAAGCCUUUCGCUCUUACGCGACCCCAGGUCAGGCGGGGCUACCCAUUGAGUUUAAGCAUAUCAAUAAGUAGAGGAAAAGAAACUAACGAGGAUUCCCCUAAUAAUGGCGAGAGAACCAGGAAUAGCCC